CGCUUGGCCCGCUGCACUCUUCGCUGUCGCGAAGAAUGGGCCAAGAAUGGGGCCCGCUUUGCUUGGGUUCCGUUGGAGCGGGAAUAACAUCUCCGUACUUAAGUCACGCGACGGCCAAUCGGCAUUCGAGUUAUGCAACAUUCUCGGAAGCGAGUGCACCCAGCGACCUUUUAAGCGCGUCUUGCCCGCUCCAAGUCACCACUGCCACUUCAGAGCUGACCGCGGUCGCAGCCCAGGUUCCGAGAAACUCUUGAGGAUACUAGCUAGAUGAGCGCAGGACCACGAAGUGCAAUUAGUUCCAGUCAAGUUCCGAGUCAUCUGAAGUAGAGUGCUGCCCACCAUGACGACGCACUGCCUCUGGUCGACUUUCCUUGGCCUGCUGGCCGUGCUCUCCAUGGCGACCAGUCGCUCGGUCCGCCAAGCGCCAGGUGGAUAUCCGCACGUCCUGCCCGCCGGCUACUACGGGCAGCCCUUCUACUACCAACCGCCCUACGGAUACGGCUACCAGGCGCCGCCCCCGGUUUUCAGCCCACCUGGCACCUACUACGAUAAUGUUUACGGCGUCUACAAGACCUAUCCCGGCGGUGGUUAUCCGGUGCGGUUCGAUUACAAUAAUCGUUGCUCUCGCAACUACAUUGGUAUCAAGCCCCACCCCGAUCAGCAUCAGUACUAUUAUGUCUGCAAGCCGAACUGUGUUAUCUUCAGCAAGUGCCGGAAUCAUGAGAGUUUCAACUCGAGCAGCGGGAGCUGCGUGCCGCACGUUCCGCAGCACAGACCGAACCACAGGACGCCGCAGUGCGAGAAGGAGGGUCGCUUCCCACACCCACACGACUGCAAGGUUUACUACAGAUGCGACAAGAAUCAGACUCAGCCCUGGCUGUUCGCUUGCCCCGAGGGCACGAUCUUCUCGCCGGUGGAACGCAAGUGCCUGCCCGGGGAUCAGUGCCCCUCGACGGAGAUCUCCGAUAGUGGCAGCUACAUCCCGCAGAACUGCGAGCUCAAGUUCCCCGAGUGCGCCGAGGAGGGCACGUUCCGCUCGCCGACGGACUGCGCCCUCUACUACACGUGUCGCUUGCAGGAGAGCGGUACCUAUCUGCAAACGCGCUUCAAGUGUCCCGGCAGCAACAGCUUCGACCUCGAGCGCAAGCUGUGCCGUCCGCGCAGCGAAGUCGACUGCUUUGACAUUGUUCCGGCACCCUACCACGCCCCACAGCCUUACUAUCCUCCCUACCCAGCUGCACCGCUCUUCGAGGAGGACGACUACGACGCGGACGCCAAGGAACUGGAGCCCGCUCUCAAGUCCGAUAAAAUCCAGUUGCCGGACGGCAUUCAAAGGCCCUCGGUAAACGUCGUCAUACUGCCUACGACGACUACGCCAGCGACUACAACCGCAUCGAAGCGCACUACCGAGGAUCACAAAUACCACCCGUAUCCGUCGUAUCCCUCGUAUCCCUCGUAUCCCUCGUACCCGUCAUACCCUUUGUACCCCUCUUAUGACCACACCUCCCACGAGCAUGGUAAAGAACAUGAUGUAAAAGAGGACGCCUUGAACCGAUUCAAGUUGUCGGAGCAUGUUGUAAUCUUGCCCACAACACCAGCGACUACGUCUACCAGAGAUGAGCUUUCAAGGGAUACAACAAAAUACCAAUACAAAAGGUACACUUAUGCAACCGAGACUCCGGAGUACAAAUCGCCUUUGAAGGGCUUGAAACUUUCGCAAAAUGUUGUUGUCUUACCAACUUCGACCUCCAAGGCUACCACAAAACCUACAGUACCGACAUGUCCCACUCUGCCGACAUUAGCUACUACAACGGAAUCGAGCCCAGCUACGACUACAAAACAAACAACUACAAGUACCCCAAAACCUUCAACAAGUACCAAAAAACCCAAAACGACGACUCCGAAACCAUCUACUGUGACGACCACUCAGAAGCCAAGUACGACAACUAGGAAAUCCACAACAGUUACCAAGAAACCUAUCACAACGACUUUGAAAACCACUAAAGUUACAACAACUACACAAAAGCCAAGCUCCACUACUCAGAAGUCCUCAACAGUUACGACCACUGAAAAGCCAUCCACAACAAGUGCUAAGCCUGCUAUUAGUACAGAGAAACCAACCACAACUACAGUGGACACCUCGACAGUGACUACGACCACUCAAAAGCCAACAACAACUACUUCUUCGACUACAAAAACAACGAAGACAAGUACAGUGACAACAACUACACAAAAACCAACGAUUACUACUCAAAAAUCCUCAACAGUUGUUACGAGCACUGAAAAGCCAACCACAACUAGUCCUAAACCUACAACAAGUACCAAAGACCCCUCCACAGCGGCAACUACUACUCAAAAACCAACUACAGUCACUACUUCCACCCAAAAGCCAACAACUACUACUCUUCAGCCCACAACAACUACCCAGAAGACAACAACGACGGCUCUGAAGACAACCAAAUUGACAACGACUUCUCAAAGCCCAACGACUACUUCUGAAAAAACCUCAACAGUUACAACAACGAGCAAGCAAACAACAAAAACCGAAAAACCAACUUCAACUUCCGAAGCAACCUCUCCAAUAACCACGACUGAAGAACCAACAACUACUACUGCAAAACCGACAACAACGACCCAGUUCACGUCACCAUCCUCUCAAAAACCAACGACAUCUGAUCCGAAAACGUCUUCAACCUCAACAUCUAAUAGGACCACGAGAAAAACAACAGAUAAUACUCAAAACCCUACAACAAGUACCGAAAAACCCGGCACAACAACUGCGAAAACAAGUACCAACAUAUCAACCACUCAGAGACCAACAACACUGCCCGAGACAACGACAACGACGACUCAAAAACCAACUCAACCAACAACAUCUGAUCCACCGAAAACGUCUUCAGUGACCACAACCACACAAAAGUCAUCGACUACCACCCAACAACCUACAACACUCUCCCAGGAGACAACGAAAACGACUCCUGAGUCAACAACAACAACGACAUCAACCACUCAACAACAAACUACUCCUCAGAAAACCUCAACAUCUAUUAGGACCACGAGAAAAACAACAGAGAAUACUCAAAACCCCACAACAAGUACCGAAAAACCAGCCACAACAACUGCAAAAACAAGUACCAACAUAUCAACCACUCAGAAACCAACAACAGUGCCCGAGACAACGACAACAACCACGACCACAAUAAAAUCAACAACAUCUGAUCCGAAAACCUCUACUGGAACUACGACCACAGAAAGAGUAACAACUACCACUCUUACACCGACUACAACCUCCCGAAAGACAACAGAAACAACUCCUAAGUCAACGACAACGACCACUCAAAAAUCAACUACUGAGGAAACCUCAACAUCUAAUAGAACUUCGAGAAAAACGACAAGCCCCAUAACAAGUACUGAAAAACCUGCCACAACGACUUCAAAAACAACUACUGACAUAUCAACUACUCAGAAACCAACAACAACGACCGAGACAACGACAACGACUACGCAAAAAACAACAACAUCUGAUCCGAAUACCUCCAAAGGGUCCACGACUACACAAAAGAUAACAACUACCACCCAAGAACCAGCAACAUCCUCCCAGAGGACAACGAGUACGACUCCUACGUCAACAACUACUGUGCAACCAAUAACAAGUACCGAGCAAUCGACAACGACCGCUCAAAAGUCAACAACGACUGGUCAGGAAACCUCAACACCUAAUAGGACCACCAGAAAAACAACAUCGAAUACUCCGAAUCCUACAACAAAUACCGAAAAGCCCGCCACAACGAGUACAAAAACAACCACUGACGCAUCAACUACUUUAAAAUCUAGUACAACCUCUCAACAAACUUCGACAGCUACUACUACCAGCAAUCAAACAACAUUAAGUACUCCUAAGCCUACAUCGAGUUCUGAAAGGCCUAACACAUCUACUCAGAAGACCUCUACAGUAUUUUCGACCCAAGAACCGACUACAACUACUCCCAAAUCUACAACAACGACCCAGACAACUACGACCUCAACGAAACCAAUUACAAGCACACCAAGUCCAAGCACUACGACAUUAAGUACUCCUAAACCUACAACGAGUUCUGAAAGGCCCAACACAUCCACUCAGAGGACCUCUACAGUAUCUUCUACAGUAACGAGUACAGAAACAACCACUGACGUAUCAACUACUAUAAAAUCAAGUACAACCUCUAAACAAACUUCGACUCCUAAACCUACAACAAGUUCCGAAAGACCUAGCACAUCUACUGAGAAGACCUCUACAGUAUCUUCCACCCAAAAGCCGAGCACAACUACUUCCAAUCCCACGACCUCAGCGAAACCAAUAACAAGCACACCAAAUCCGAGCACUACGACUCGUAAAUCGUCAUCAGUUGCGGCGUCAAGUACAAGUAUCGGGACCACGAGGCAUCCGACUACCACUACCACGGUAAUCUCAAGCAGCACGGAGCUAACCACUGCCACUCGACCGGCCUGUCCUGAUCACGACUCCACCUCAGAUACAAACAGACACUCCGCAUGCACACAAGAACUCCGCCUCGUGAAACAACUCCCUCUACACGCACAGCAAACACAACACGCCACAGAAUCAGAGUUCGCUGGGCGGUCGAAUAGUUUGGGAGGGCGGGAUGAGCCAGACAUGGACUACAUGGACGAUGCUCCGUCCUCCGGCGAGGGGAAUCCUGGUGGGGAUGGGGCGACGACAGCAAGGGCUCCGACCAUGUCCACGCUGGCGGCGGCCCACCUGCUGCGGAAGCUGUUCCACUCAAUCUCCACCACUCCGCCGAGCAGGGAGCGUUCCUCCAGCCAACGGCCGCCGGGAGUGACGCUCUCCCAGAUGGCCAGGCACAACCUGGCCACCUCGAAGCCCUUCAUCGCCCACUCCCUGCGGCUCUCCCUCCAGCAGCUGGCCUCCGCCCAGGAGCACUUCGUUCCGCCCAAGCCGCUCGUGGCACCACCGAACUCCGCCAAGAAGGAGCCGCAGGACUCCGAGUACGACGACAGCGAGACGUCGGAGCAGUAUCUCGACGAGGAGAACGAGGUGCUGCCGUUGCCCAGAACCCUGCCAGUGGCCAUGUCCAGCUCAACCGUGGCUGCCGUGCUCCCGGCUCCAUCGACGACCACCGAGCAGACACUUCCCGAAACCAGUUCCGCUCCAAGUCGGACGAGUGCCGCAGCUUCAGCUUCCUCCACCACCACCACCACCACCACCACCACCACAUCUCAGCCGAUUGAGUCGACGACGGGGGACGUGGAGUACGGCGACUCUGACUAUGCCAACGACGAGGCUCUGUCUGCAGAAACGAGUGCCAAUACAGAGACCGAGAACGAGAUUCCCGGCGGAGCCUCGAGCAUGGAGGCCAGAAAGAGCUUCUUGCUAAGCCUGCUCAAGGAGCGGCUGACUCGAGCGGAGGAGGCGAAGCCGAAGCCGUUGCCAACGACAACAACAACAACCACAGCUGCUCCACGGAUAUCAAGCACAAUGAAAAGCAGCAGCUCUACUGCGAGCACAAGUUCAAGCACAAGUACUGCCGAAAGUACGACUGCAACUGCAACUACGAGAGUGAAAACAAGCACUCCGUUCGAAAAUGAACCCACUACUACCACUACUGAGGCGGCGGUACAGUUGCCAACUAACAAAUUAAGUCACCAGAGCUCAGAAUACUACGACGACGAUGACUACAUGGAGGAUGAACCUUCCAGCUUCUCGGAUGCUGAGAGCAAAGACCGGAAGGACAAAGUCACAGUGGCCAAGGAGCCGCCAGCAGCCACAGCCAAGCGGCACGUUGUAUUACCAAACAAAAAAACGGCCUGGGAUGUGAAAAGUGUGGUGCACUCGAAAGCCGCAUCAGGCGGUCCAGUCCUGAAAGGACUUGCAGCCAAGCCAAAUCCGAUGCCCAUUGCCAGUUUCUUGAAGGGGGCGUCACAAAUCAAUGUUAGGAAGCCACCAACACCUAACUUAAACAUUAAACCAACAAUAAUUAAAGAAAACACAACACCAACAGCUGAAUCAUCCACUGCAGAACCAGCAUCAACACAAACAGAAACAACAACAUUGACAACACUGCCGACCAGGCUACCAAAGGCACUCCUAACCAGCCAACUCAAAAGCCAAGCUGCGAAGCAAGAACUAAUCCCAAUCACACAGCGUACACUAGAAGUGUUCACACCGACCACUGCAGAAACCCUGCCGACUGCCAGCGGACUGGCGGCGGUCAGGGCCUCAUCAGUAGUGGCUCCAUUUGCCCCACUUGCCCCACUACCACCCGAAGCACCAACAACGCCUUCAACCGCCGCAGAGCGCCGGGAAGUGCUGUCGGUGAACAGCAGACCCUGGUUGCUGGCGGCUCGCAACCACACCGUCCGCAUAACACCCAUCUCAUCACAUUCCGCUCGAUCGCCGAGCAUCCCAGUGAGCCAAGUUAACCGUCCGAGUUCGUUCCGUCCACUAGUGUCCAGCCCCGAGGACCUCUCCACCGAGGCGCCGGUGCCGCAGCUCAUCGUGAAGGUGUACGAGCCCAUCGACCUGAAGAUCGUCUUCUGCCCGAAGUCCUGCGACCAGGACCACGACCACAAAUUCGAUAAAGCUUCUUGUCUUACUCCUCGAAUUCCAUUGCGCCAAUUUCAAAGCUCUGUGGAAUGAUCUCCCCGCGCGUUUUGUAUUCUGUGCACCUUGGGUGAAAUCGGACAUCAAAAGAAGACACGGCUGCCCGAGCUCCAAAUGUGGAUACCUCUGGUUUAAGAGGAAGCAAUAUAGAUUCACUGGCAAAUAUGGAUUCGAAUAACUCUUGUAUUAGGAAAAAACAAUGGAGAUCCACUGGCAAACUGAUGUCAAGCGGUGGUUGCUUUCAGCGAUCAGAUAAGGAUACAGAGGGAUCAGAGCGGAAUCAACUUGGAAUGUCCUUCGACGACUGGACUGGCAAACCAACUUUCAACACCU